rnacentral:rRNA from 1 species
GUCGAACGAAGGCUUCGGCCUUAGUGGCGCACGGGUGCGUAACGCGUGGGAAUCUGCCCUCAGGUUCGGAAUAACAGCGAGAAAUUGCUGCUAAUACCGGAUGAUAUCGCGAGAUCAAAGAUUUAUCGCCUGAGGAUGAGCCCGCGUAGGAUUAGCUAGUUGGUGUGGUAAAGGCGCACCAAGGCGACGAUCCUUAGCUGGUCUGAGAGGAUGAUCAGCCACACUGGGACUGAGACACGGCCCAGACUCC